CCCUUAGAUGUUCUGGGCAGCACGCGCGCUACAAUGGUCUUCGCAAACGGAUGCAUUCUCGAAGGAGAAUGCCAAUCUUGGAAUCUAUGCAUUGGUCGGGACAGUUGCUUGCAAUUUUUCGACUCGAACCAGGAAUUCCUUGUAAUCGUGAUUCAUCACAUCACGAUGAAUACGUCCCUGCCCUUUGUACACACCGCCCGUCGCUCCUACCGAUCGAAGAGUUAGGUGAAUUGUUUUGAUCGAUAAGAUUUGACUAUGGUCAACUCUCGUUGUGAAAUUCUGUGAAUCUGACUGUUUAGAGGAAGGAAAAGUCGUAACA
rnacentral:rRNA from 1 species